rnacentral:rRNA from 2 species
ACAUGCAGUCGAGCGGACAGAAGGGAGCUUGCUCCCGGAUGUUAGCGGCGGACGGGUGAGUAACACGUGGGUAACCUGCCUGUAAGACUGGGAUAACUCCGGGAAACCGGAGCUAAUACCGGAUAGUUCCUUGAACCGCAUGGUUCAAGGAUGAAAGACGGUUUCGGCUGUCACUUACAGAUGGACCCGCGGCGCAUUAGCUAGUUGGUGAGGUAACGGCUCACCAAGGCGACGAUGCGUAGCCGACCUGAGAGGGUGAUCGGCCACACUGGGACUGAGACACGGCCCAGACUCCUACGGGAGGCAGCAGUAGGGAAUCUUCCGCAAUGGACGAAAGUCUGACGGAGCAACGCCGCGUGAGUGAUGAAGGUUUUCGGAUCGUAAAGCUCUGUUGUUAGGGAAGAACAAGUGCAAGAGUAACUGCUUGCACCUUGACGGUACCUAACCAGAAAGCCACGGCUAACUACGUGCCAGCAGCCGCGGUAAUACGUAUGUGGCAAGCGUUGUCNGGAAUUAUUGAGCGCCCAGGGCUCGCAANNNUCCUCUUCAGUCUGAUGUGAAAGCCCCCGGUUUAACCGGGGAAGUCCUUUGGAACAGGGGUCA